UGAAUAUAUCUUCCUCUGCAUGUCACUAGUUCAGUUUGCAUAGUCCAGAAGCAUAGAUAACAUUAACUGCGAAAAUGGACUAUACCUUUUUAAAGAUUUUACUAUCCAUAGGAGGUGGAAUUAGUUAGCAGGUGUCUCUUAGUGAAAACUAACUAUUGCUCCUCUGUAGUAAAUGAAAUUGCAAUUCAUUUUCCACUGGGAUUUAAUUGGUGUACUGCUGAGGCAAGAAACAUUUGAAACGCAGCUCACAGUCAUGAUAACCUUUGCUAAGGGUCAGAAAUGGGUCAGAUGAUUGUGCUUACAAGGUCACCAUGAAAAAACUACCUUAGAAGGUCUGGAUCUUCAAAUUGUAAGUCAAUAUUUACGGUUGCCAAAGCUGGGGUUGCA
rnacentral:lncRNA from 11 species